rnacentral:tRNA from 1 species
GGGCGUGUAGCUCAGCGGGAGAGCACUACGUUGACAUCGUAGGGGUCCCUGGUUCGAUCCCAGGCACGCCCACCA